rnacentral:lncRNA from 1 species
UUUCAUUUGUUUAGUUUUUAAAACUUUUAUUUUUAUUUUUUUUAUAUUUUCUUGUCAUUUUGUUUUUCUUUCUACAUCUUCUUUUCCUUUUCUCCUUAUUUCUUUUGUUUUUGCACACCACUGCAAAUUAAUUAUCUUGUAUUUUGUGUUCCAUACUUGAUUCAUAUAUUGAGUAAUAAGAAAUCUGAAUUUCAUCGCAACCUAC